CGUCAGUCGAGGGACGGAAAUGCGUUUGUCUUGAGGUGCAGCCCGUUUAUUCCCAUCUCAAAUGUUUGAAUCAGUAGAGACUAAGCUGCAUAAUAUACUUCACAUGAAUCAGUAAUUCUGAGAAAAGAAAGGAGUCACAACGGUUAAAAGAGGCACGUACACUGGUUGAUACAGCGUUUUCUUGGAAAACCACAUCCGCCCCCAUUCUGUCUUGAUGAAAACCUUUCAACUCUUCACCUUAUUCCGUGUCAUGUGCUGCACUCACCGACUUUUACUUCUUAGAAACUCUCUUGUUGCAGCGAGUGACAUAUAAAUAAUAUUUCAAACAAACUAUUAGGGGUAGUUGUUAUCUUAGAAAUACUUGUUUUGGUCUACAAGACCCGCAAAAGAUUUCAAUUCCAGCCAAGACCUCCAGAAAAGCUGCCACACCUGUUCUAAAAAGCAAAUGUGAGAAUCGCUAUGUGGACACUAGUCCUGCUAGAAAUUGCAGACAAAUCUUCAAAUUUCACCAAAAACUGCCCUAUCAAAACGAGCUUAUAAGAGGCGGGGCCAUAAGGGACCAACAAAAGAAUGUUGAAUGAGUCAUCAAAGGAGCUUCAUUGUGGUCACUCGACCUGAUAGAAAUAACAACGGAGUCUCCCUUGAAUUCACACCCAGUUGUCUUGAAACAAAAGUAUAUAUUUUCAUUAUUGCUUAGUGAGAGGAGAUGUGAAGGCGCCAAAAAAACAACAAAAGUUGUCGUCUGUGAUGGGACGCACCCCUCGCUUUAAUUUUAGUUAUGCUAUUGAGUUAACCCCUAAAGGCCCGUCCGACGCCAGGUACCCACACAGUUUCGGUCCAGGAAAUUUUACGUACAAGUGUUUGAUGAAUCCGAGACUAGAGGGUGCAGAGAGCUGGAAUAUUGAUCUGGAAAACUGCGAAGAUGUGAAGCGAACUUCUGAAUCAAAAGAGAAGAAGCGGAAAGAGAGAAAGAAAGAAAGAAAGAAAGAAAGAGAGGAAGAAAGAAAGAAAGAAAGAAAGAAAGAAAGAAAGAAAGAAACAAGGUAAGAAAAAGAAGAAGAAAAGGAAGAAGAUUGAUGCUUAAUUUCCGAUCAUCAAUAAAACAGCUAAAGAAAGAAUCGAUCAAUCAGAUACUACUUGCCUAUCAAUCUAUUAUCUGACUUAAACGAAAAUACCAGUUAUAUACCAGUGAUAUAUAUCAUUAUAUAGGUACAAGCGGUGCCAGAAUUUUUGUGAAAAUGAGAAUCGAAAAAUCCCGAGAAGGUUAUAACAUAUCCAAACUAAUUUUUCAAUAUGUCAAAGAAAACCACUAAGGCUAUUUUGGCUAUGUUUGUGACAGCCUCACAAGAAUAUUCAACAAUGACAUUUUACAGCAGAUCUUAAAAAGAAAACUACAUCUCAACCCUCAGUUGGGGUACCAAGACAUUCCAUAGGUACUUCAACAAAUUUGUGUAGCAUUUUACCAUAGGUACUACAACAAAUUUGUGUAGCAUUUUAAAAUGGUUUUUGUGACGAGUUGAAGGGAAAGAUCCCUUCAAAGCCUUUUCAAGUGCCAAUGAUUUAGAGAAAGACCACUUAAGAGGCUGUUAUUUUCGUAAUGUUAGUAUUAAAGGACUCUCAAAAACAACACACACGCAGAAUAAUUUUUUUAAAACUUAUCUUCUACGUUUAAUCCUGAAUCCUGCGAGGAAACACUAACUAUUGCUACUCCACCACCAGAAGCUGGGAUGAAUUCUAUUGAAGAUGAAGUAGAUAUUUAUGAAAAUGUUAUUGCAGAUGACGCUUCUGGAUUUCCAUUAAGUUCCGGAUACGAGCCAGAAGAACAAUUGUUUUUAAACAAGAGAGUUUGAUCGAUCUUGUGAGCGAUUUAGAAGUAUCAAAAGAUAGGACCGAGUUUUCGCGCCUCUCGUUUCAAAGAAAGUUACUUGAUGAAAAUAUAACAGUGAGUUACUCUAUGAAGCGAAAGUUUGAUUUAGCACUUUAUUGUAAAAUGGAUGUCCCCCACCUUUCACUCUUAUUGUCAUGACAUUAAUGGGUUUUUACUAGUUUUUCUGAAAGGUAUUCUGGUAGUGAAUGACAACUGCUUAUAGAUUCAUUAUUACGAAGUUUGAAAGCCCUUUUACUGCAUAAUGGAAAUUUAAAGUCGUUUAUCCCCAACGCUCAUUCGAUGUAUUUAACAAAAUCUUACUUUAGUGUGGAUAUUCUUUUUAGCGCAAUUCGAUACAAUGAUUAGCAAUGGAACCUUUUGGGGGAAAUCUUAAAGUAAUUGUUAUCCUAAUGGGCAUGCGUAGGGAAUUCACUACGCAGUAGUUUUCUAUGUUUGCAGGGCAGUCACGUUAUUACAGAGCAUCAUAAUAAAAGAGAAUUGUCAGCUAGGUCUUCAAAGAUUCCUGUAAGUAAUACCAUUCAAUCAGUUCCUUUUAUUGGUUUCAUGAAAAUAUUUUUACCAUUUUCGGCUCAUGAAACUUAGUUUAAGGAAGAUAUUGUUUAAGACCGAAUUCAAGAGAGUUUCAUUUUUCUUUUUUAGGUAUAUUGCCAAAAUUAUGUGUAGCCAAAACUGAAGAAGGUUAUUUUAUAGUCUUUCAAAUCUGAGUGGUAUUAAAAGAUAAAUCUCUUGAAGCAAUACUCACAGCAUCUGAACCAGAAGUUUGGAAUAGCUUCAAAUGGAUGUGCUGAAUUCUUUAAAAAGUAUAAACUCCUUCUUUGUAGAUGCCAUAAAAAACUGAUUGAGUAAUUCAGAAGAUAUAGGUUGUCAUGUGCAUCUUAAAUGGCAUUUCUAACGUUCACAUCUAGGUUUCUUUUCUGAAGAAUUUUGUGGACUUCGUGAUAAAAAAAAAAGAGUUCAUCAAGGUAUUAACUAUAUGGAAACUUGAUACCAAGGUUUCAGAAAUAAGACAUAAUGGCAGAUUAUUGCUGGGUGUUAAGCAGUGAAGCCACAUGUCACAUUUAUUGGGAAAAAAUCAAAUUCGUCUUAUUUCUGUUUGCGUGCAUACAUGUAUUAUAUACAUAUAUAGGUAUAUGUAUAUAUGUAUAUAUGUUCAAAAAGUUAUAUGAGAAUAAAAUUUAUUUGAUCUAUCAA